CCGCCAGAGAAUAACGAGCCAAAGCUUAAAACCCAAAGGACUUGGCGGCGCUUCACACACCCUAGAGGGGCCUGUCACAUAAUCGAUAACCCACGAUAAACCUCACCACUUUUAGCCCAUUAGCCUAUAUACCGCCGUCGCCAGCCCAUCCCGAUAGGAAAGAAAAAUGGACCCAAUAGUCUCUACACUAGCACGACAGGUCAAGGUGUAGCUUAUAAAGUGGCAAAUGAUGGACCACAUUGCUUUUUCCAGCCAUACUCGAACUGCCCUGAAACACGCACUUUAAAGGUGAAUUUAACAGUAAGUUGGGCAAGAAAACCCACCUAAAGAAUGCUCUGAAGCGUGCACACACCGCCCGUCACCCUCAA
rnacentral:rRNA from 1 species